GUUAACAAUUACCAGGUAUUCCUUGUGACACCUGUGACUUUGUACUUCCUUGUGACUCUUAACUAGUAUUUUUGGUAUUUUCCAACAACGCCCUUCCCACCUCCUUAAGUCGUGGUUUCUUCCUUUAAAUACCCCCUAAUCCAGCUACUUGGGGCGCCACGGUCCUCUACCCCUGCGUGGUGUAUGACCAUGGGCCCGAGAGCGCUCUUGAAUAAAAAUCCUCUUGCAAUUUGCAGCAAGACCGUUUAUUGUGGGUGAUUUUGGGGUGUCGCCUCUCCUGAGUCAGAACGUGGGGGAAUCCUCACAUUGUGGGUCUUUCACACCACCACUGAUGAAACCAAAGGCAUCCCCUUCCUGCCCUAAUGUUGAAUGCCCACAUGGUGAGAAACUUUUAUUAACAGAGAAUUACUGUGACCCGGAAGAGUUCCACUGACACACGGCCGAAGGGCAGGAAAGCCUGGCAGGUAAGAAGCUUCCCUGAGAGUGAGGAAGGCCUGUUUCAGCAGCGGCGGCAGCAGCAGCAGCAGCAACAUAGUGUUUCAUAGUCUGUUGUGAUUUCAAACAGUUCUAUGCCAGCUCCAUCAACGAUAUUGUAUGUGACUAAGCCAUUUUCUCCAAUGUCUGGGUCUUCAGCCUUCACCCUUCCUACUUCCUCCCCCAGGGACAGCUGCUUCUGAAACAGACAUCUGGUACAUGCCUGAAAGAAAAAGACAUCUACUUUUAUUUCACUUUUUAUUUGGCAGCUGUAAGACUUCAGAUUUCAUUGAAUCCCAGUAAAUUUCUCAAAGGGUUUAAAAUCGAACUUUUUAUUGGUAGAUGCAGAAGUGAAGUGGAUGGAUGGGAAGAGGAUCCCAGAUGGCCAGCAUGCAGGAGCAAUGUUCCUUCCAGGAUGACAAAACAACAUUGGGGUCCUGGUAAGAUGAUGAGGUCACCUGCCACACGAGAGAAAGGAAAACAGUGACAAGGUCCUAUGCAAGAGUCCACAUGCUGGAACACCUGAGGCUUCCUUUUCAGGGUGUCCCACAAACUAAUGCCAAAGAUUCCUUGAACUAAUGGCUCAAAGAAAAGCAGCCACAGAAGAGUAAAUUUACCCUCUGCUUAAAAAGGUUUCAUCACUUCAUAUUUAUUUUAGAGACAAAUACAAAUCUUUCAAGAAUCUUUCUUGAGCAAAGAGAUAUUUCUCUCAUCUUACUCUUCAUCCUUUGCACUAGGUAUAGCAUGGAAUGCUCUGGAAGCUUUUAGACAGUCAACUCCCUUUAUGUUUAUAUUUUUCAGAAAUAAAGAAUGGUGCCACACGUACAUAUUUAUAUUUAUGUUUACAGUAUUUAUUUCUCAUGAAUGCAAAUGAUGAUAUAUUACUCUUUUAGCUCUGAAGCUAAGUAAAGGAAGAGUUAUAAUUCUCAACAUGACAUUUAAAAAAAAAGAGAAAACAAAACAUAUCUAGAUAAACUAUGAUGUUAUAGGCUAAGUAGUAUUGUAUGGUAAGGGGUAAAGGGAAGUAGGGUGUGUGUGUGUAAGCGUUUAAGCUACACAAAUGAGUGUGUAGUUAUGCAUGUGAUUAUGCUCUAUACGAGUCAGUGUGAAGAUGGGGUAUGAUAUGCUUUUCUAUGACAAUGUAUGUGAGUGGACACCUAUCAUGGUUAAGUAUGUGUAGAUGAGAAGGAAAUCGGGAUUUAUUUUGGACAAGGUAGAGACAGAAAUCUUUCGUUGGAAGAAAUCUGAACUCCAGUGAAGGAAAUGAGCAAGACAAGUGUAUGAAUAUGUGGGCAAUAAGUGUCACAGAACAAGGAACAACAAAUGUCAGAAAGCCUCAGGUGAGGCUGCAAAUUCUGAAGAUUCUGAAAAUGUACAGUGGGACUUCUGUUACGGGAGAAUAACAGUAGGAAGGAGGCAUGUAAACGGCAUUGCUGAAAAUAGUCAAGAGGUUGAGUUCCAUUUAGGGAAAGCACUGGACAGUUUUCAGUAAAGGAAUGAGCUGUAGCACCAUCAUUUGACACAUUUGAAAAGCAACCUGUCUAAGACACACUAUGCGUGGGCGGAGGAACCCUCUCCUGCAGUGCUCAGCCCACUGGCAUUAGGGGACUCCCCUAGACUCUUCCUUUCCUCUACUGCAGCUAUUAUAUGCUGCAGUGCUGCAUUCUUUUCGUGAUUAUACUGUACCCAUUUUCUACCUAAUCUUGUAUUGUAUUCACAGUCAAGGCACAGUGAGUGUGACUUUCUGUAGAAAUGAACAAUGUAUAACAAUGUUCAGAAGAUCUGUUGCAAUGUAAUUUUCUCCAAAUCUCAUUCAAGCCCAUGACUGUGAAAUACUAAAACUGAAAUAUAAAAUUUCUAUACCACUCUAUAUAAAAAAGGGCAUUAGUGGACAUCCAUGAAUAAGUCUGUCUGCCUACUUUUCUGGCAUAUGGAACAAUUGUACAUUGUGCAAAUGGAAUAGACAGCUUUGACUAUGUUGUAUGUGCCUCAAUAUUAUCAAAGAUGCAUACCUUUCCAUCUGACAAGGAAUAGCAUGGUUGACCCAUCUCUUUUGGAGUCCUCAAGAGCUAGUAUGUGUCUCAUGAUCAUCUACCAUGAUAUCUUCAUUUGGUAGAUUGUUAUCUUGGGUAACUUUGAAUAACCAUAGUGCCUCCUUAAUUGGUAUACUUAACUGACUUCCUUUGGGUUUAUUAUUUUUUAUAUUGUGUGUGUGUGUGUCUGUCUGUCUGUCUUUGAGUGUAUGCUAUGUGUCUGUCUGUCUGUCUGUCUGUCUUUGAGUGUACACUAUGUGUAUGUGGGUGUCUGCAGAGACCAGAAAGUAUGUCAGAUUCUCUGUAACUGGAGCCAUGGGUGUUUUUGUCAUUACUGGAAAGCUCAGAGUCAUUAUUUUUGUGUUAUAACUCUGGACUCCCCUUUGCACAUACACACUAAAAUAUGAUUCCAGAAAUUCUUUAGUCCCCUCAAUGUCCUUUCCCUAGGAGCCAAUUAUAUCUAUAAAACAUAGGCUCUGUUUAGAUAUUUAUAACAUUAGUGACCAGAUAUUAAAAUUAGCAGCUAUCAUUAAUUUCAAUAUUUUAAUACCAUUGUCUCCAAAGAGUUGUUUUGUUUGGUGCUAGAGUGAUGGCUCAGAACCAAGACCGUAUGUUUCUCUUCCUGCUGACCAGAGUUUGGUUAUUCCCACCCAAGUCAGCUCACAGUCACACAUAAUUACAGCUGCAGGGAAAUCUGACAGUCCUGGCCUCUGUGGGUCCCUACAGAUAGGAAACAUCCACAUAUAGACACACUCAUAAACACAUAAUUAAAAUAGUAAACCUAAACAUUUUAAUGAUGUAUCUUACUUUUAGGUAUGCAUAUGCCUGUGUCUAUGUGGCUCUGUGACUAGGAAUGCAGAUACAACGGAGACCAAAAGAAGGCUACAGGUCCUCCUGGCCCGAAUUUCAGCUGUUCAGAGCCAAUAAUAUUGUUGCUAAGAACCUAACCAUGGAUUUCUGCAAAAGAAUUAUAUACCCUCAACUGCCAAAUAAUAUUUUCCCUCAGUAACUUCAUAAAUAUUGUACAGUAUUCAAAAUAACAAUGGCUGAACAAUUAUUGCCGUUUUUUCAAUUGAUAUAAAAAUUAGCACUAGCUGGAUUAAUCUGAACAAAGAUUGUAUUUACGUUAAAUGCUAGGGUAUCAUUUUCUACAAGGAUACUAGUAUAGCUCGUAUCCCACAGGCCCCUCCAAUGUUACUUUAUGGUCCUCUCAUAGAACUGUGAGGUCUGGCUGAGCUUUACUACUAUGCUGGCAGCCUUAAGGCUACAGGGAAAGAAGUCCCAUGGCUUCUGGUAUCAGCUCAAAAAAUGGUCACAGAGUUCUCAUGAUCAGAACUCAGCCACAGAAAGGCCCAUGUGGAGAGGAAGCACAAGCUAAUCUCAAUUUGCCAGGCUUAUAAGGAAUCUUAGAAGUGGGUUUUUCUGCCACAGGAGAACUGCCCUGCUGAUGCUGGAGUGACAACAGAGUAGCUAUUUCUCCUAUGCUCUGUACAAAUUAAAGUCAAGAAACAAAUAAGUGAUUGUUACUUGCAAUCAUCAAGAUGUGGGGGAGUUUUUUAUGGAAUGAUAAGCAUCAGAUCACGGUUCUGUUAGCAUCAGUGAAGAACACUGAGACAGGAGAACGUUAAUUGAUGACUGCCUUUUAUGAUUAAUACCUAAUAAGUAAAAUAUCUCAAGACUCAGAUAUUCUGGUGUCUAGAGUUACACAGUUUUAAUGACUUCCUUACUUCUCAUGAUCUCUAUACUGUUUAACUUUCCUCGGUGUGUUUUUAAGUCUUUGCUAUCUUGUUCUAGUUUUUUGCAAGAAUCACGAAAAUGAUUCUUGGAUUUCUAGACUCUUCCUUUUGAAAGCUGGGUAAAUUAGGAGUGAAUGAAAAGAUGAGGCUCUCGCUGAGCAGUGGUCAUUAGCAAAGACCAGCUCUGACUCCUUACUCUGUGGAAACUUUGCUGAGUUGUCGUUGACAUCAGUCAGAGUGAUCGUCACACUGGUUGUCCCUGAGAGUACACCCAUGUGUCCACCCAUGUCCUUAGCCUGGAUCACCACAUGGUACUCCUCCUUGGCUUCUCUGGACAUAUUGGGAAGGGCUGUCCUGAUGAUUCCUAUCAAACGAAAAUUUAAAAAUCACAAAUAUUCAUUUAUGACAAGAUUAAAAAAAAUAUGUUACAUCCUGGGAAGCUAAAGAUACAUAAAAUAUAGCCUGCUCAAAGACAAGUCAUUUUAACAUGGCAAACAUAACAGAAAGUGUUGAAGAUAACACCUGUGUAUUAUCAAGCAAAUAAUAAAAAUUACUUACAACAUAUUAGUUUUUUUUCACUCUGCAUGCAAGUAACAAUGUCUUUCCUCUCAGACACAAGAAUCCUGAAGACUGGAAUGACAAGAGCCUAUUGUAUGAUAAGUCAUAUCUGAAUCUAUACUUCAGGACUUCUAGCAA
rnacentral:lncRNA from 1 species